rnacentral:rRNA from 1 species
CCUAGUGGCGGACGGGUGAGUAACGCGUGGGCAACCUGCCCCAUACCGGGGGAUAACAGCCGGAAACGGUUGCUAAUACCGCAUAAGCGCCAAAUGCCGCAUGGCAUGGGGCGGAAAACUCCGGUGGUAUGGGAUGGGCCCGCGUCUGAUUAGGCAGUUGGCGGGGCAGCGGCCCACCAAACCGACGAUCAGUAGCCGGCCUGAGAGGGCGGCCGGCCACAUUGGGACUGAGACACGGCCCAGACUCCUACGGGAGGCAGCAG